rnacentral:rRNA from 1 species
UCAUGGCCCUUACGGCCAGGGCUACACACGUGCUACAAUGGCGCGCACAGAGGGCUGCAAACCCGCGAGGGGGAGCUAAUCUCACAAAACGCGUCGUAGUCCGGAUCGCAGUCUGCAACUCGACUGCGUGAAGUCGGAAUCGCUAGUAAUCGUGAAUCAGAAUGUCACGGUGAAUACGUUCCCGGGCCUUGUACACACCGUCCGUCACACCAUGGGAGUGGAUUGCUCCAGAAGUGGUUAGUCUAACCUUCGG